UAAUACGUAGGGGGCUAGCGUUGUCCGGAUUUAUUGGGCGUAAAGAGCUCGUAGGCGGUUUGGCAAGUCGGGUGUGAAAUCUUCACGCUUAACGUGGAGCGGUCAUUCGAUACUGCCAUGACUAGAGUCCGGUAGGGGAGUGUGGAAUUCCCGGUGUAGCGGUGAAAUGCGCAGAGAUCGGGAGGAACACCCGUAGCGAAGGCGGCACUCUGGGCCGGUACUGACGCUGAGGAGCGAAAGCGUGGGGAGCAAACAGGAUUAGAUACCCUGGUAGUCCACGCCGUAAACGUUGGGCACUAGGUGUGGGGCUCUAUCGACGGGCUCCGUGCCGACGCUAACGCAUUAAGUGCCCCGCCUGGGGAGUACGGCCGCAAGGCUA
rnacentral:rRNA from 1 species